AACGAACGCUGGCGGCAGGCUUAACACAUGCAAGUCGAGCGCCCCGCAAGGGGAGCGGCAGACGGGUGAGUAACGCGUGGGAAUCUACCCAUCUCUACGGAAUAACGCAUGGAAACGUGUGCUAAUACCGUAUACGUCCUUCGGGAGAAAGAUUUAUCGGAGAUGGAUGAGCCCGCGUUGGAUUAGCUAGUUGGUGGGGUAAAGGCCUACCAAGGCGACGAUCCAUAGCUGGUCUGAGAGGAUGAUCAGCCACAUUGGGACUGAGACACGGCCCAGACUCCUACGGGAGGCAGCAGUGGGGAAUAUUGGACAAUGGGCGCAAGCCUGAUCCAGCCAUGCCGCGUGAGUGAUGAAGGCCCUAGGGUUGUAAAGCUCUUUCACCGGUGAAGAUAAAGACGGUAACCGGAGAAGAAGCCCCGGCUAACUUCGUGCCAGCCGCCGCAGUAACAC
rnacentral:rRNA from 1 species